UACGAAGGGGGCUAGCGUUGCUCGGAAUUACUGGGCGUAAAGGGCGCGUAGGCGGAUAGUUUAGUCAGAGGUGAAAGCCCAGGGCUCAACCUUGGAAUUGCCUUUGAUACUGGCUGUCUUGAGUUCGGGAGAGGUGAGUGGAAUGCCGAGUGUAGAGGUGAAAUUCGUAGAUAUCUGGAGGAACACCGGUGGCGAAGGCGGCAUCCUGGACCGGUAUUGACGCUGAGGCGCGAAAGCUAGGGGAGCAAACGGG
rnacentral:rRNA from 1 species